rnacentral:rRNA from 1 species
UACGGAAGGCAGCAGUGGGGAAUAUUGCACAAUGGGCGCAAGCCUGAUGCAGCCAUGCCGCGUGUAUGAAGAAGGCCUUCGGGUUGUAAAGUACUUUCAGUCGUGAGGAAGGUGUUAAGGUUAAUAACCUUAGCAAUUGACGUUAGCGACAGAAGAAGCACCGGCUAACUCCGUGCCAGCAGCCGCGGUAAUACGGAGGGUGCGAGCGUUAAUCGGAAUUACUGGGCGUAAAGGGCACGCAGGCGGUUAAUUAAGUUGGAUGUGAAAUCCCCGGGCUUAACCUGGGAAUGGCAUUCAAGACUGGUUAGCUAGAGUCUUGUAGAGGGGGUUAGAAUUCCAUGUGUAGCGGUGAAAUGCGUAGAGAUGUGGAGGAAUACCGGUGGCGAAGGCGGCCCCUGGACAAAGACUGACGCUCAUGUGCGAAAGCGUGGGGAGCAAACCAGGGAUUAGAUACC